AGAGUUUGAUCCUGGCUCAGAUUGAACGCUGGCGGCGUGCCUAACACAUGCAAGUCGAGCGGUAACGCGGGAGCAAUCCUGGCGACGAGCGGCGAACGGGUGAGUAAUACUUCGGAAUCUACCCACGGGUGGGGAAUAACCAGCCGAAAGGUUGGCUAAUACCGCAUACGCCUACGGGGAAGCGGGGAGUCGAAAGACCUCGCGCCGGUGGAUGAGCCGAGGUCGGAUUAGCUAGUUGGUAGGGUAACGGCCUACCAAGGCGACGAUCCGUAGCUGGUCUGAGAGGACGACCAGCCACACUGGGACUGAGACACGGCCCAGACUCCUACGGGAGGCGAC
rnacentral:rRNA from 1 species